rnacentral:rRNA from 1 species
UACGUAGGGACGCAGCGUUAGUCCGGAAUCAUUGGGCGUAAAGCGCGCGUAGGCGGCCUUGUAAGUCCGUUGUGAAAGUCAAAGGCUCAACCUUUGAAAGCCGAUGGAUACUGCAAGGCUGAGUGCCGGAAGGAGGCGAGUGGAAUUCCUGGUGUAGCGGUGGAAUGCGCAGAUAUCAGGAGGAACACCAUAGCGAAGGCAGCUCGCUGGGACGGUACUGACGCUAAGGCGCGAAAGCGUGGGGAGCGAACAGG